rnacentral:rRNA from 1 species
AUUGAACGCUGGCGGCAGGCCUAACACAUGCAAGUCGAACGAGUGGCGGACGGGUGAGUAAUGUCUGGGAAACUGCCCGAGGGAGGGGGAUAACUAGUGGAAACGGUAGCUAAUACCGCAUACAAUCGGAUGUGACCAGAUGGGAUUAGCUAGUAGGUGGGGUAACGGCUCACCUAGGCGACGAUCCCUAGCUGGUCUGAGAGGAUGACCAGCCACACGUGAACUGAGACCCGGUCCAGCCUCCUACGCGAGGCAGCAGUGGGGAAUAUUGCACAAUGGGCGCAAGCCUGAUGCAGCCAUGCCGCGUGUAUGAAGAAGGCCUUCGGGUUGUAAAGUACUUUCAGCGAGGAGGCGUUACUCGCAGAAGAAGCACCGGCUAACUCCGUGCCAGCCGCCGCGGUAAUUC